GGUCUAGACAUAUGGUAAUGAACAAGAGACAGGUGACACUAGGGGUGAGGAACAGGUGAAACAAAUCAGGGCUGGGCAGACAAUCACAAAAGGCAGGAAACACAAGACAGGAAGUGAAACUAGA